rnacentral:rRNA from 1 species
CGACCGAAUCGAAUCGACGGAGGGCAUCCUCACGCGAAACCAUCCUCUGAUUCCCCCUCCCCUCGUCCCAUCCAGAUCUUUCUGUCAUCGUUUCUCCCCCCACUCCGAAUCCCUCCCUCCUCUCUCUGUGAAGCAGGUCCUCACCGACGUGCCCGCCGCCACGGCCCUCCCUCCAAAUCGUCGCCGACCCGAGAAUCUCCGUUCAACAGCAAGGUCAUGGCAGAAACCAUAGAUCUAACAGGGGAUGGAGGCGUUCUUAAGACGGUGGUCAGAAAAGCAAAGGAUGAUGCUAUAAGCCCAUCUGAUAGCCUUCCAUUGGUUGAUGUUCAUUAUGAAGGGACACUUGCUGAAAAUGGCGAAGUUUUUGACACCACACAUGAAGACAAUUCUAUUUUUUCAUUUGAAGUUGGCCAGGGAGCUGUCAUUAAAGCAUGGGAUAUAGCCUUAAGAACUAUGAAAGUUGGCGAGAUUGCAAAAAUAACAUGCAGGCCGGAAUAUGCGUAUGGAAGUCCAGGCUCGCCGCCAGAGAUACCAGCGAAUGCAACACUCAUUUUUGAGGUGGAAUUACUGGCUUGCAAGCCAAGGAAAGGUUCAAGUCUGGGCAGUGUAUCUGAUGAGAAAGCCAGGCUAGAGGAGCUUAAGAAACAGCGGGAGCUGUCUGCCGCCACCAAAGAGGAAGAGAAGAAGAAGAGGGAGGAGGCAAAGGCCGCGGCAGCGGCUCGUGUGCAAGCCAAACUUGACGCCAAGAAGGGCAAGGGAAAAGGAAAGGGCAAAUAG